rnacentral:rRNA from 1 species
GACGAACGCUGGCGGCGUGCUUAACACAUGCAAGUCGAACGGAAAGGCCCUGCUUUUGUGGGGUGCUCGAGUGGCGAACGGGUGAGUAACACGUGAGUAACCUGCCCUUGACUUUGGGAUAACUUCAGGAAACUGGGGCUAAUACCGGGUAGGAGCUCCUGCUGCAUGGUGGGGGUUGGAAAGUUUCGGCGGUUGGGGAUGGACUCGCGGCUUAUCAGCUUGUUGGUGGGGUAGUGGCUUACCAAGGCUUUGACGGGUAGCCGGCCUGAGAGGGUGACCGGCCACAUUGGGACUGAGAUACGGCCCAGACUCCUACGGGAGGCAGCAGUGGGGAAUAUUGCACAAUGGGCGGAAGCCUGAUGCAGCAACGCCGCGUGCGGGAUGACGGCCUUCGGGUUGUAAACCGCUUUCGCCUGCGACGAAGCGUGAGUGACGGUAAUGGGUAAAGAAGCACCGGCUAACUACGUG